AAAUUCCGCGCCGGAGAGACGGUAUUCUUUUCCGGGACGCACGUCCGGAGAUGGAGGCAAAGUCUCACUAUGUAGCCCAGGCUGGCUUCAAACUGGCCAUUCUGCCUCAGCCUGCUGAAUGGUGAAAUUACAGAUGUGUGCCACCGCACCUGGCAUUAUUUUUAAUUUUGAGAUUGAGUCUUGCUAAGUUGCUCAGACUGGGCUUGAAACCCGUAUUAUGAUCCUCCUGCCUCAGUCUCCCAGAGUGUGGGAUUACCAGCAUUAGCCACGACACCCAGAUGCCAGUGUUCAUUUUAACUGCUCGAGUACAAAAACCCAACCUAGAGUUAAUGAAGGGCCUAAUUUACUCAUCUGAAAGUUCACUGCCCCCAAACAUUCACAUUCCUGUGCCUUGCCCCAUGUGCGUGUGGUCCUGGGAUCUAAAGUUCCAUUCAAAUGUCACUUCCUCAACUUGGCUAUGACCUCUCUUCUGCUUUCAAUGUUAAAAAAACAUGAAAUGCUGGGCCGGGGAUUUAUCUCAGUGGUGCUGCCACCUGCCUCGAAAGUGCAAGGUCCUGAGUUCGAUACCCAGUAGUAAAGAAAAAAAAACAAAUGCUUUUUCUUACUGCUAUUUCAAAGUCAAAACCAAAAAGAAGGGCCGGGGAUUUAGCUCAGUGGUUUUGCCGCCUGCCUCAAAAGCGCAAGGACCCAAGUUUGAUCCCCAGUACCAAAAACAAACAAAAAAAACUAAAAAGAAGACUACUUUUACUCUAGUGUUUCUAACAAAGUAUUAUUUAUUUAUUUAUUUAUUUUUUGGCACUGGGGACUGAACUCAGGACCUUGUGCUUGCAAGGCAGGUGAUGGAGCCACUGAGCUAAAUACCCAGCCCUCUAACGAAGUAUUUUUGAAUGCUUCCUUUUCAAAAGUAUACAUUUCCUUAAAACUGGGUUGUGUAUUUAUAUUCUAGCACCUCCAACCAUCAUGGAGCACAGGAAGCACUGAACAAACAUGAACAGGAGAGGGGCCGGGGAUUUAGCUUAGUGGUUCCACCGCCUGCCUCACAAGCACAAGGUCCCAAGUUCGAUCCCCGGUACCAAAAAAAAAAAAAAGAAAAAAAGGAGAGACCUGAGUGCCAGUAUGAGCUGAGUGCCCUACACCAAAGGCAGUUUCUGAAUUGGCUCUGAGCUGCUCACGGGAGCAGAUAGACAAGCCCAGGAGCCAGGCGAGGUUCCUUGGGACCAAGAUGUGCUGGUAAAGCAGCUGCUGUUUGCUCUGCCUGUUACAACCAUAACGGCUUCUGGACCCUGGGCUGUGAGCCGAAGCACAGGUUCCAGAUGCAGGAAGGCAAGGCCAAGCUGUGCUUCGGGGAGAAUGGAAAAAACUGAUCUGUGGUUUGAGAGGACAAACACAGGACAGCAGGAGAGCAAAGGCAAUGAAAGUGGAGAAAGAGCAGUGGGACAGCUCUGCGCAUAUGUUGCUUACCUCUUGUGACUCUGUCUUACCCCUUUCUCACUUUUGUCCAGUUUCAACCCUGGUUUGGGAAAAACAGGCCACUGAUGGUAUCAAUGGCGCAGUGAACAUCAUAGCUGUAAUCUCCAGCUCACAUCUGCUCCUGAGAAUUAUCUCAUCAUUCUCAAAUCCUGACUCCUAAGAGUUAAAACCAUUUCAAGGACAUCCCAAAUGCUUUACUGAUAGAGUUACAGAAGCAUUCAUUCAUGCCACCAAAGCAAGAAUCACAAAUUCUGAAAGUUAGAGCUAAUUACCUCUUUGGAUACAUAAAAACAGUAUAUCAAAGCAUCCUACAAUGUGCAAAAAGGAGGCCCCUGGCAGAAGAAAAAGAAGCUCUUGUAAAAUUGUCCUAUUAGCAAGAUGACAAAGAAACUCCUCUGGAGAUCACAUUCCCAGAAAAUAAAGCUUCUUCAGCCAAAAAGAGGUCCAGCCUAGGCUUUGAUAGAUUUUUAUUUCAACCAAAGAAAAGCUCAAAGAAGACAGAGGUUCAGAUCUCCCAGGGCUGAAACUGGAUCUUCAUCAGUGUGAACCUUUGGUUUACUUUUCACAUGUGGGCAGAGCCGGAAGCAGCAAGAGCUCAAGAGCUCACAGAUGGUUCUGACUCUAAGCUGACACUUUGGCACGUGAGCUCUGGGCUGCUCUGCCAGACAGCCCGGAAUUGCUUCUGUGCCAGCCUUUCCAUGAUCUGUGUCUCUGUCUGGUUUCAGUCAUUGUCCAAACUGCUCAUGGGGUGGUCUGAGGGCACCCCUGGACCCUGCUGUGUCUGCAAAGCAGAACCUCUGAUUGAAGAUGAAGGGCUGGGAGGAUUCCUUCAUUGCCUCAAGUUUCCAGUAUGUUUCUGAGGCUGGCAAAAAUUUGCAGUGAUCUACCUGCCUCAGCUUCCCAAGUGCUGGGAUUACAGGCUAUCGCCAAGGUAGGCACUAGGAAUGUGAGAAAAAUAAGGUCAGGUUUCAGCCUUCACAGAGCUUACUACUGGGUGGGAACUGGAAAUAAUGGACCCCAGAGACAUCUGCUCCCCAACUUCUCUGCCCUGUCUCUACCCCACCUGGCUUCUGCUUCCCCGUGACUCCUGCACUGGGAGCUGAGGCCUGCAGUGGAUGGAACCCUCUUCCCCCCGGCCUGCUCCCUCCUCUGGGGCUGGGCAGAGCUGGGCCUUUAGGGGUUCGGCUCAAGCUGCACUGGCGCCCCCACCCCAGGUUUAAUCAGCAGUAAAGCUGAUGAUGUCUGUCCAGAAGCCCCGAAGCUGGGACAGGCCUGGCAGGAGCCUGAUGCCACAGUUGGCCUGAGAGGGACCUUUGCCCUGGGCCCCAGCAGAGGGCCAAGUGGCUGCGUGUCUGUGUGUGGAGCUACUACCCUGGCCGGAUGUGCUCAAGGCCACCUGCAUAAGCACCUGACACUGGGGGAGGAUUUGAACCCUCCCUGCUCCCUUAGGAUAGCCUCUGCCAGGCCAAGCAGUGACAAGCCAGGGGACUUGAGGAAGUCCUUGCUUUGCUCUGGGAUGAUGUCCCCAUCUAUCAGGUGCCAGGGGUUGCACAGAUGGGCUUUCAAGGCCCUGUCCAUUCCGGGCCCUCUGCAAUGGGAGCGGGAGGGGGAGGCUGUUCCUUUGUCCCGGAGCCAGCACCCAGGAACCUCCCUCCUUCUUCCUCCACUCAGGUUCUAGGGAAUGGCUCUGAGUGCCAAAGCUGAGCAAAUAACCCUGUGCAAGAACAGGAACAGGCGGAGGGAGGGGAUGGCUAUUUUUAUCCCACGUGAGGGAUUUUCACAGCUGCUUCACGUGUGUCCUCACAUUUCCCUGGGCCCAGACUAUUGCAGUGGCAGAGGUCCCUGUGGGUUGACGGAGGGGUCUGCUCCUCAAUGGAAACUGCCCAGCCAUAUGUCCACCUUCCACGAGGAAGUGCCCACUAAGCAUCGCCCUCCCUUGAGGCUCCCAACAGCAGGAAGCUGGAGGAAGCCACACUGGGGACCUGCGUGAGGGUGCUGACGAAUUCUCAGGGCAGCUCGAGCGCCAGGUCCCUCUAUUCAGCCAGCGUUUACGGAGCACCUGUACAAUGCCAGGCCUGGCCAGGGAGGCUGUUGCCAGUGGCCAGCAAGGAAGGGCUGAGCACUUCCCACACCAACGUGACUGGGCGCCAGGUGCUGUAGUUACCGCUUCACAGAGACAAUCUCAGACACAGUUCUCACCCCACAAUGCAUCCUGAUGCCACUUCUCACUCAGCUGCUGUCUCCACCGACUGAGCCGAGCCCUCCACACCCUCCUGCUUUGCCCGGGUGACAGAAGUUGUGCCAGCUGCUCCUCUUCACUUCACCCUUUGUCCUUACAACGCUGCUCUUCCCAGCACCCAGGAAGAAAGUGGUGUUUUUGCUUUUCUUGAGGUGGGGGAUGAACCUCAGGACCUCAAACAUGCUAAAUACAUGCCCUACCACUGAGCUACACCUCCAGUCCCAGGAGAAAAUGUUUUUGCUUUUAGAGAGAGGCUCUUGCUAUGUGAGAGUGUGAUCCUCCUGCUCCAGCCCCCGAUGGGUGGGAUUACAGGUGUGUGUCACCACACCUAGCCCAAGGAAGACAUUUUUCAAACUAUACAGGUCUUUCUCUUCUUUGUCUCCUCCCCACAAACCUGUGGCUUCCUCCUCAUGCUGAGAAUAAAGACCCGACUCCUCAUA
rnacentral:lncRNA from 1 species